rnacentral:tRNA from 1 species
GGUGGCUCAAUGGUAGAGCGCUUGCCUUCCAUGCAUGAGGUCCUGGGUUUGAUUCCUCAGUACCA